rnacentral:piRNA from 1 species
UAGCCAGGAGAAGAGAUGUCAAUUAUAAA